rnacentral:rRNA from 1 species
CUACCGGGGUAUCUAAUCCUGUUUGCUCCCCACGCUUUCGCGCCUCAGCGUCAGUCUCGGUCCAGAGCGCCGCCUUCGCCACCGGUGUUCUUCCCAAUAUCUACGAAUUUCACCUCUACACUGGGAAUUCCACGCUCCUCUCCCGAACUCCAGCAAACCCGUUUCGAGCGCAAUUCCCAGGUUGAGCCCGGGGCUUUCACACUCGACAAGGUCCGCCGCCUACGCGCCCUUUACGCCCAGUAAAUCCGAACAACGCUCGCCCCCUUCGUAUUACCGCGGCUGCUGGCAC